GGGCCGUGGACGCAGCGCAGACAGGAAGCCGCCCGAGAUAACGCUGCGGCCGGGCGGCCUGAUUUGCUGGGCUGUCUGCUGGCCCGGGCCGAGGCUUCUCCCCGCGCCUGGGACUGCGGCCGCCUCUCUAAAUAGCAGCCAUGAGGCGCCUGGGGGCAGUGUCCUCGCGGGCCAGCGGCGGGCAGGACGCCCCGUUCGCCCAGCGCGUGCUCAGGAGUUGGUGUCCUGCCUGCGCUCAGGAUGAGGGGGGAUCUGGCCCUGGCGGGCGUUCUAAUCAGUCUGGCCUUCCUGUCACUGCUGCCAUCUGGACAUCCUCAGCCGGCUGGCGAUGACGCCUGCUCUGUGCAGAUCCUCGUCCCUGGCCUCAAAGGUGAGAAAGGAGAUUCUGGUGACAUAGGACCCCCUGGUCCUAAUGGAGAACCAGGCCUCCCGUGUGAGUGCAGCCAGCUGCGCAAGGCCAUCGGGGAGAUGGACAACCAGGUCUCUCAGCUGACCAGCGAGCUCAAGUUCAUCAAGAAUGCUGUCGCCGGUGUGCGCGAGACGGAGAGCAAGAUCUAUCUGCUGGUGAAGGAGGAGAAGCGCUAUGCGGACGCCCAGCUGUCCUGCCAGGGCCGCGGGGGCACGCUGAGCAUGCCCAAGGACGAGGCUGCCAAUGGCCUGAUGGCCGCAUACCUGGCGCAAGCCGGCCUGGCCCGUGUCUUCAUCGGCAUCAACGACCUGGAGAGGGAGGGCGCCUUCGUGUACUCCGACCGCUCCCCCAUGCGGACCUUCAACAAGUGGCGCAGUGGUGAGCCCAACAAUGCCUACGACGAGGAGGACUGCGUGGAGAUGGUGGCCUCGGGCGGCUGGAACGACGUGGCCUGCCACACCACCAUGUACUUCAUGUGUGAGUUUGACAAGGAGAACAUGUGAGCCUCAGGCUGGGGCUGGCCACUGGGAGAGCCCAUGAGCCUCCAGCUGGGGCUGCUCACUGGGGGCCCCACGUGUCCCUGCAGGGUUGGCAGGGACAGAGCCCAGACCACGGUGCCAGCCGGGGAGCUGUCCCUCUGUGAAGGGCGGAGGCUCACUGAGUAGAGGGCUGUUGUCUAAACUGAGAGAAUGGCCUGUGCUUAAGAGGAAAAUGAAAGUGUUCCUGGGGUGCUUUCUCUGAAGAAGCCUAGUUUCAUUACCCGUAUUGUAGCCCCAAUGUCAUUAUGUAAUUAUUAUCCAGAAUCGCUCUUCCAUAAAGCUCGUGCCUUUGUCCAAGCUAUACAAUAAAAUCUUUAAGUAGUGCAGUA
rnacentral:sRNA from 1 species